CAAAAGGGGAGCUUGCCGGAGCAGGCUGAGAGGGCGCUUUGAUCAGUGCCGACCCUGUAACCUGAUUUGGAUAAUGCCAACGUAGGGAUGCGGAGAUAG
rnacentral:ncRNA from 1 species